GCAUAUGCAGUCAUUCAAUAUUGAACAAUCAGAGUUAGCCUACAGUAUUUGUGAUAAAUGUUACCACCACUGCUUAAUAUUCCCUGUCCUCAGUCUUUUAUCACCGGUACUACAUGUAGUUGGCAAAAAUAUUAUGCACAUGUAUUAUUCCUACUUAACAGUGAUUAUUUCAUGUGAAUCAAUUAAGACAAGAGGUGUCAAUUUUAAAAGGAAACGCAGAUAAAUAGAAUGCACAGUGCAUUAAAAUACAUAUUUAUAUCGAUACUCUCUCCAUAUUGUCAAAAAAUAAAGUAGAAUCAUAAUUAUAGACAUCACAUGUAACAAGUCACCAGUAGAAAAGAAAAUGCAUGUCACCGUAGGAUGGUUGUGUAUGCCGACGUCACUGUAGGACUUCAAGUGACCUUGCUUCGUAGUCUAGAUCACACAGAUCAGAAUCCAUUUUGCCUUGAAAUCUGAUUAUUCCUUCAUUAGAAAAGGAGACAUAGGCAUCUCUUGAUUAUUUCUCAUCCUCUUUUUUAAAUUUUUUUUAUUUUAUCAGCCGUUUACAGAUCAGAUAAUAGAGUUUGUUUUAAGGGAAUGGGAAAUUUAGCUUGCUGAAUAUUUUGGAAGAUGGAUUGUCCAAUACAUGGAGUUGCCUGCCCUUGCCAUUUGAUGUCUCUAACAUGCCCUGUAUUGUGACUCAAAAGAAAUUGUUGAAUUACUUUGUUGUUAUAUUGUUAUUUUUUGAACAGGUUGUAUUUUUCAUAAGCAUGACAAAUUUUCUUUUGUGUUCAGUCCAUUUUUUUUCAUUAUAAGUGACGGGUUUGAAGUUUCCACUGAUUCAGGGUAUUGGUGUCAUUUCCUACUCUGCUGUUUUCUAGCUGUUACUGGUCAGUUACAGAUCAAAACUAAAACUUUAUCUUAUCAGUAGAAGGCAAUAAACAUUACAGAAAUCACAAAACUAAUCAUAAAGAAAUAUUUUUUUACUUUAGGUGAACUUGAGUUUAUUUUUUCAAUUCACCUUGUCAUUUGUUACAAUUCUACAUUUUUUCCUUAGAUUAAAGGGAUCACCAUUAUCUCUAUUCUGUAGACCCCCCCCCCCCUUUUUUAUACACCUGUUAAUCUAUCUAUUAGCUCCAUUUUUUUAAAUUUACCUUUUCACUAGGGUACUUUGCAUCUAAUUUUGGUUCAAUGAGACUGACUGCACUUUUUACUAAAAAGGCACAAUGGGUGGGAACAUGGUAGGACAGAUUAAAAAUGUCCGACACUUGUUAAGUUAUUGUUAUUUAUUAAUCUGGUUUGAGGAUGUGUAUUACUACAUAUUGAAUAGAAAAAGGAACUGCAAAUUUUUUGGUUUCUGGCCAGUAUGGCACAAGUGCAAUAUAAUUAACUUCUGAAGCAAAGUUGAUCUGGUCACUUUGUAUUGUGUAUAUAAGUCCAUGUAUUUGGUUGUCUUAUGAUAUUAAUUAUCUUCAUUCACAUACUGUUAUAGUGCAUACAUUUAGGCAUUUGCCUUUUGCUUUAUUCAUUAUGGUAGGUUAGCAUGCAUUGUGUAGAAACAACCUUUUUUCUUUCAAUUUUUUGUCACUUGAAGUUCUUGGAAAGAAAGCAGAAUGAAUUUCAUGGGGGAUACAUUUCAUUUUUUGGUUGAGUAGCUACUUCACAAUGGUUUUUGUUUCAAGUUAUAAUCAUUAUGUGAUGAUGGGACAUAAGUAAUUAUUAUAUAAAUAUAUAUAUACAUAUAAAAUAUAUUCUAUCAAAUAAAUUUAUCAAAUUGAA
rnacentral:sRNA from 1 species